rnacentral:lncRNA from 10 species
AACACACACACAUGUUCACACAGACACACACAUGUGUGGGAUAAGAGGCAGAGCUAGAGUCCAUUUUCCAGGUCAGACUUGGGACUCCAAGCCUGACUUUGGAGUGAUUCAAAUCACCUUCCACCUAUUUUGCUGCUUGUUCAGUUCAGUACACGUUAAGAAUGGCCCCCAACCAACAGGGAACUGGUUUGGUUAUCUUCCUUUGCCUUUCAAACUCACCCAAGCAAAGAUAAAAGUAAGCAUGUCUUCACAAGCAUCCUCUUAAUGAUUCACAGUUUUGUUUAUUCUGCUGAGCUCAAGUCAGAUGUAACUUGACAUUUAUAUUCCCAUAUACCUCCUUUCUAUGUGUGUGGGUAUUUUAUUUCAUUUUUCAGUAUAUCUAAAUGGUUCUUCUCAUUCUGCCAGAGUGAAUCUAGUUACAUACGCUUGCUGCAAAAAGGAAGUUUCCAAAUCUGGAGUGUAAUAUUCAAUGGUCUUUUCAGAAGAAAGGCACGUUACUCUCUGUGACAGUAACAUUGCUUCAUAUCCAGACCCAAGUCACAUGAAGGAAUUUUCUUCUAGAAUCCUUAUUUACCAAUACCAAUUUUAAAGAAACAAAAUAACUCCAAAAGAUGAGCUUCUAAGGAAAAGACUGGAUACUUAUGUUUUCUCUUUACAGAGAAGCCAUUUCCUAUCUAAUGAUUCUGGAUUAAUUUCUGCAAAUUAGUAUCAGUGUGUAGCACCAGUCUCUCCUUUGCAAAUCUUAUACACCAAUUUUACAAACUUUACAAAUCUUGACCAAUAAAAGCCACAGAUUGUCAAAUGAUAGUUAAAAUACAAGGUUAUGUUUGAAAGUCCAGUUCCACAUAUUCUCCCAACAUAUUCUUUUUAUCAGUAAUAAUAUAGGUUCUCACUGACCUGAUUCGGCAGCCUCUGAACAUGCCAGUGUCUACAAGAUAAGGGCAAACCAAGGUUGUUUUAAUUCCAUCCUUUUCAGCAGCCUUUAGUUCAUGGCUCAGGGAUUCAUGAAAACCCACAACUCCAAAUUUACUGGCACAGUAAUCCUGAGUUAAAGAGGGGAGAAAGCAGAAAUACUAAGCAUAUGCCCCUAUCUCCAACCAAACUAAAGCUUCCCUGGUCCUAUUACCAUGUUUAGAUGUCUAAUACAUAAGGUUACAGGUGACUACACAAAGAAAAGGAAAUCAUUUUAAAAGACAGAUACCUGGCUGGGCAUAGUGGCUCAUGCCUGUAAUCCUAGCACUUUGGGAGGCCGAGGUGGCUGGAUCACUUAAGGUCAGGAGCUCGAGACCAGCCUGGCCAAAAUGGUGAAACCCCGCCUCUACUAAAAAUACAAAAAUUAGCUGGGCAUGGUGGGCCUGUGCCUGUAGUCCCAGCUACUCAGGAGGCUGAGGCAGGAGAAUUGCUUGAACCUGGGAGGUGGAGGUUGCAGUGAGCCAAGAUCACACCACUGCACUCCAGCCUGGGUGACAGAGUGAGACUCUGUCUCAAAAAAAAAAAAACAAAAACAAAAACAAAAACAAAAACAAAAAAAAAACACAAACCAGAUACCUGAUGUGGUUCAGUGCAGAAAUAAUAUUUUCAAAGCAACAGCAGAAACAGAUGAAUACUUUUUGUCACAUCAACUAAGUAUCAUAUUACUUUGGGGAAGUUACCAUAAAGGAUUCUAUGAAAGCUCACAAGCUGAAGUUAAAAUGGAGAGAGGUUCACUUUGAAGUGUCUGGAAAAUUUACAAAUGGUCUCUUGUUCAGUAAAGGAGAAAGAAAAACCAGUUUGUUUAAAUUAAUGCAAGAAGAAUAAAGGCAAAUCUAGCUUAGGCUAUAAAUUGUUAUGAUUUGACUUUCUUUGUAAGGCGAAGUUAAAAUGAAAAUGAUAAUCAUGCCUUGUAAUCUUAAACUAGAACUUAACCUAAAGGCACAGAAUAUAGAAAAAAAGUUAUUGUCCAUGGCCCAACUUCAGAAAUGGAAUCCCUUGAUAUAGGUGCUAUUUAAAUAAUGUGUCCUUUUGCAUAUUUGCAUGGAGUGAUGUUUUCAGUUUUACAGGCAUGCAGAGGACAAACAGGAUAGAACAACAUAUAUACUCAUACUUUAUAAUCUGAAUAUCGUGAAGAACAGGGUUUGAUGAAAUCCAGUUCUACAAUUCUACAAACUUACAAUGCAGGAUACCUGACCGCCUCAUCUGAUGGGCUAAUUAAUACAAGAUAGCUCAGUUUUGGCAAGGUGACCACAACCGAAUGUGAACCUCUGGCCUCAUUCUUCUGUUCCCCACAGCUUUCCAUGGUUCCAUUCUUGGCCCUGUGCCUCCUGCCAUCGUCAAGUGAAGCUGCUAAUGAAAAUGGGCACACUGAGGGCUGGCCCAUCUACUUUUCUUGUCGCUGCUGCUUUGUCAAACUAGUGUAAGAGAUUUUAUGGCAGAAGAGGCAGAAGUCCAUUCCCUUUCUUUGUUUUGUUUUAGAGACAGGGUCUUGCUCUAUCUCCCAGGCUGAAGUGCAGUGGUGCCACCAUAGCUCACUGCAGUCUUGAACACCUGGGCUCGCACGAUUCUCCCACCUCAGCCUCUCAAGUAGCUAGGACUACAGGUGUGCGCCACCACACCUGACAUAGAAUUCCAUUCCAGUGGCUGGCCCUGGGUUCCUGUGGAACAUUCUACAUGCAGCACACAUGCAGAGUGCCUUCGUGCAGCUUUCAUGAAUGGAGGGGCAGCAGGUGCUCUCCUGGAGGUUCUGGUGUACUUAUCACAGGAUAAACAGAUUGAACGAAAGAAAUGCUAUAUAUCUGACAAACCUCAACUCCGGCAGUACUGAACAAUCCCAAGGAACUUGCAACUGUCACAAUAUGACCAUGAUUAAUCUCCAGCAUCGUAGGAAGAAAAGCCUUAGUGGUCUGAAACAAAGUAAGAUUCAAGUUUUAGAACUGAUUUCAUGAAUUUCAUCUAAAACCCAGUCCAGGAUCACAAAACAAACUUUUAUUCACAUGAUGUUUUGUUUCCCAAUUCCUUUAAAAAUAUUUUAUAUUUAUCAAAAAGAUCUUUUAAGUGUCUGGCUAACUUAGCACUGUAUCAUCGGCAUGGCAGGCCUAUUAUAAGUCGUGACCAACAAGACUGUAACUUAAAAGCUUUUGGGGACAGUGUCUAGAGAUAAAAAGAGAGCCAUUGGCAGAAGCUUCUUAAUUACCUUUCAAGUGACAGUUAUCUGCUAAUUUAAAGUACUCCCAAGCCAGGUAUUUGUUUCUGCUCGUGACACUUCAAUGCAGCUAUCUCAUGGUUUAGGAGGGACCACAGCCUACUACAAACAUUGCCUUGUAUUAAUGUGUGCCUUACGGCGAUGUCUACGUAGUAAUAGACCUAUCAAUGAAGAGAUACUCCAGCAGCAUGCUCUGGGAUCCCAAGGCUUAUUACCAAAAUGUACUAGCAGGAGACAAAGUAUUUUAGGAUGUAAAAAACAGGCUAAAUUAUAGAACUAUUUUUGUGAAAAACAUAUCAUAAUGCCAACUAUGCACUGACAAGAACGUGUAUCAUUCUGAACAGUCACAUUCCAACAUGGGUUUCACCGCAGGGACUCUGCCACAGAUGCAAGUGACUGGCCACACAGUGAGGCAGAGAGUGUGGCACAAGUUCCAGGCUGGGGGACCCAGAGGCCCUGAAACUUGUGCCAGAGGUGGCACAAAAUCAGAGGUGGCGCCGAUUUCUUACUCACUAAACUCUUUUCUCUCUAGCUCGCUUGCCUUCAAAAUGCAAGGCUGUAUCAAAAAAAAAAAAAUUACUUCAAAUUGCUUACGAUGAUCUAUUAACUACUCCACCAGGCUCCCAACAGUUUUAUAACCUGCUUCUUAAAAGAAAGCAGCGAAGAGCAAUCUGUCUACUGCUGAGUUAUCUCCUACUGCCAGCACAGCUUCCCAUGAUUUAUGAAGUUAAAAAAACCCACACAACCAAACACUACAAAGCAGACUUAAGGAAGAGCUGCAUUCCCUUCUCAGAGGAUUUGCUGGCUACGGUAUCACUGAGUUUUUGCAUGAAUACCUAAUAUGGGUUUGUGGUUUUUUUUUUUUGGGCGGGGGUGGGGGACAGGGUUUUGCGGUGUUGCCCAGGUUGGAGUGCAAUGGCAUAAUCAUAGCUCACUGCAGCCUCGAACUCCUGGGCUCAAGUGAUCCUUCUGCCUCAGCCUGCCGAGUAGCUGGGACUACAGGCGCACGUCACCAUGCCCAGCUAAUUUUUAAUUUUUUGUAGAGAAGGGGUCUCAUUAUGUUGCCCAGGCCAGUCUUGAACUCCUGGGCUCAAGUGAUCCUCCCAUCUCGGCCUCCUAAAGUGCUGGGAUUACAGGCGUGAGCCACUGCCCUUGGCCUUAUCUAAUUUGUUAUAAUUUUUGUGUGUAAAGAUUGAAAACAGCAAUUCCCUUAAUUCUGAUGUUUUUCUGUGCUCCCACCAAUUAUUCAUACAGGUGCCACAUGAAUUUUUGUGAAGUAUCCCAAGGUCUUCCCCAGUCAUCAUGUAGUACCCCACUCCCAACUCACACCCUGUUUGAGUUUCCUCAUCAGUACCCAUGAAAUGCUUAUUCUCACCUGUGGCAUUUGACCCAUGAACUCUUCUGAUAAUCUAUCCCAGACCCUUCGUGUGUAAAUCAAAGUGUAAUAUUCAUCACAUAUUUAUAUAGUCUCUCAUGCUUUUCAAAGCGCUUUAUGUCACUGGAGCCCCCUAAUAAUUCUUUACUGAAGGUAGUUAGGGUGUUAAACCUUUAUCUAAUAUUAUUCUAGGCCAGCCUGACUUUGUCUACAUUUCUCUAAGACCUAUAGUCAGUACCAUUUACCUUAAUGCGAUUAUGUGUUUUAUAGUGCUUUGAUUUUGAUUGUCUUAUACUUAUUUGUCUGACUGUCCCAGACUAAGCUGGAAGACCCAGAUCAAUCUUCCAAAUAUUAAGGGAGAAUUACCUUGCUACACUGAGACAGGCACUGUGGAGGAGAGCUAGUGAUACGGUUUGGAUCUGUGCCCCCACCCAAAUCUCAGGUCAACUAUAAUCCUCAAUGUCAGAGGUAUGGCCUGGUGGGAGGUGACUGGAUCAUGGGAGUGAUUUUUCAUGUAUGGUUCAGCACCAUCUCCUGGUGCUGCUCUAGUGAUGAGUGAGUUCUUGCGAGAUCGGGUUGUUUAAACGUGUGCAGCCCCCACCCCCUCGCUUCCUCCUGCUUCUGCCGUGUUUAUUGCUGCACCCUCUUUGCCUUCUACCAUGACUGAAAGCUCCCUGAGUCUUCCCCAGAAAUGGAGUAGAAGCCUCUAUGCUUCCUGUACAGCCUGCAGAACCGUGAGCCAAUUAGACUUCUUUUCUUUGUAAAUUACCCAGUCUCACGUAUUUCUGUAUGGCAGUAUGAGAACAGACUAAUACAGCAAGUGAACACACUUCUCAUUACUGCAUUGCCCAAGUACACUGCUGAGGAAGAGAGACACAUGUUUCAGCUUGAUUGUAUUUCUUUGUAGUAGUAAAAACAGAAAGAGUAAUUAUGACAGUAAUUAUUAUUUUGAUCUGUUACCAGAAAAAGUCAAAAACUGGUACUUCAGGUUAUUAUGGGUUCAACUUUAGGCUCUAUAAUUUAUACAUGGGUAUUAUAUCACAGAAUUGAAAUAAAGUAACAUCACAAUGGAAUUUAUAUAUUCCAAUCUAAACUAGAAAACAGCUGGGCACAGUGGCUCACACUUGUAAUCCCCAAGCUUUGGGGGAGGUUAAGGCGGGAGGAUCACUUGAGCCCAGGAGUUCAAGACCACCCUAGGAAACACUGUGAAACGCUGCCUCUACAAAAAAUACAAAAAAUUAGCCGGGCAUAGUGGUGUGUGCCUGUAGUCUCAACUACUUGGGAGGCUGGGGUAGACAGAUCGCUUGAGCCCAGGAGGUCGAGGCUACAGUGAGCCGUGAUUGUGUUAUGGCACCCCAGCCUAGGCGACAGAGCGAGACCCUGCCUCAAACAACUAGAAAACAUAUCCCUAAGUAAUCAAGCCUAUAUGUCUUUUAAAAGUAUCUAGUUAUGAUUAAUUGUUCCCAGAUUAGCCAAAAAGUAUAAAACAUAUUAUUGACGUUAACCAGAGAUCAUUUUUAAGUUUUGAAAAUUUGCCUAGUCUUGGAAGACAGCAAUAAACUUAACAUAAAGGGUCUUAGUUAUCUUUCUGUAUAAAAGUUAAAGUAUAAGGACUCAAUAUUAAAUCCUAAGAAAUUACAUCCAAUAUCAAAUUCCUAUCAGAACCUGCUACUUGGUUACCUGACAAAUCUGAAUCACUCACUCACGUGUCCACUCUAACUCCAGCCAGCGGCUGGCUCUGACUAGAAACUCAGACACCAUAGCAGGUUGGCUGUAAUGACUUCCCUGUAUUCACGUGCUCUGGUCUUGCCUGCAGGUAUUAAAUGACUAAUCCAGAUCCCCAGCACCACAUCAAGAAGGAAAACAGCACAUGCCAACGUCAACACAUCUUUGAAAAGUUGCCACCAACGCUUCGCAUAAGAGGACUACUGGAAGGGAAGCUGAAUUCAGGGUCCUAUUAGGGUGAUAUUUGCGAGGCACUGUCUAACCCGAGAGAGUCCCGAAGCGUCCUGCAACAGGAAGAUGCCCUGGACCCAAUGGAUGGUCAGGAGAUGCGAAGUAACUGCCAGGGUGGCCUGGGCACUCCCAACAGACCACAAAUGUUGAUUUCAGAAUCUUUGGCACUUUCCAAAAUGUGGCUGAGCAGUAAUUUGGAAGCCUAAAUCCUGACUUUAGAAAUUCAUAAGAACAACCAAUGUUUUAUAAACUCAACAGAAAGUAAAAUAAACAAACCCAGGGUUUUACGCUCCUUCGUGUUAUUUUUAUGGCAAUCUUUCAAACUAGUUCAAA